rnacentral:misc_RNA from 1 species
CCCAUAAGCAACAAGGACUUUUUCUUGGAAAGGUUCGCAACCUCCCACCAUGAAGGCUCCACAAGCAACUGCCAAGCUUCAGAUUUGGUGGGGCAUUUCCCUCUUCAGCAAUUGAACUAUGCGUCCCAUGCCAGGCUUACAAAUAACUCAAUCCCCUCCCUCUGGUUCACACAAACCAGCAAAUCUUUGGACAUGAACUCUGAAUUCUCUUCCAGUUCAAUAACCACCAUCCUUCCACCCACAACAAGCUCAUUUCUGUCUACAUCUCUGGCUUUCAAGCCCUCUGUUACUGUUCCCUCCGACGAUCCUUCAUUAGCGUCUUUUCCAAUCAGUAGUUCACGGUUCUGGGAGGCCGGUGCCCCCAGCAACAAUAGUAACAGCAGCACUGGAAG